rnacentral:rRNA from 1 species
UACAGAGGGGGCAAGCGUUGUUCGGAAUUACUGGGCGUAAAGGGCGCGUAGGCGGCCAACUAAGUCAGACGUGAAAUCCCUCGGCUUAACCGGGGAACUGCGUCUGAUACUGGAUGGCUUGAGUUUGGGAGAGGGAUGCGGAAUUCCAGGUGUAGCGGUGAAAUGCGUAGAUAUCUGGAGGAACACCGGUGGCGAAGGCGGCAUCCUGGACCAGCACUGACGCUGAGUGAGCGAAAGCCAGGGGAGCAAACGGG